ACGUAAACAUAUGUUGAAAUAUAUUUGAGUCAAACGACAUUCCUGCCUUAUGUAUUCAAUCAUAUCAUAUCACUUUGGCAAAGUUUCUUAAUUGGAGACAAAAUGUUGUGCUUAACAAAUAAACUCGAGUUAACAAUCUUCCAGUUGUAACAUCUAUCACAUUUGUGACAAUAACAAGACAGAAAAAGUAAUUUUAUUUUAAGAUUUCUAUCAUGUUAUUCCUUGUCUAUAUAUGUGAAUAUAUGUUGAAAAUAUCCGAGUCAAAACAUUCCUGCCUUAUGUAUUCAAUCAUUUCAUUUUGUACAGUCUGGAAUAGUUUCUUAAUCGGAGACAAAUUUUUUGUGCUAAACAAUUUUACUUUUCAAUGGACAUUUUAAAGUAGAACAUGCUGUACCAUUCAGGAGAACCUUCCAUAAACAUAGAUAAGUAUUCAGUCAAUGACUUAUAGGUACAGAGUGGCCCAAUUUCUUUUUAUGUGAGCAAAAAUUUUGGGCCAAGUUAUCCUUGGAUGAGUAGAAAUUUCUUGCUUUCGAACAUACUCAGAGAUCAAUGAAUAAAAACAAACAAACAA
rnacentral:misc_RNA from 1 species